rnacentral:rRNA from 1 species
AACUAACGCUGGCGGCGUGCCUAACACAUGCAAGUCGUACGAGAAAGUUGGCUUCGGCCGAUGAGUAAAGUGGCGCACGGGUGAGUAACGCGUGGAUAAUCUGCCUUUUAGUUGGGAAUAACGUACCGAAAGGUGCGCUAAUACCGGAUAAUACUGCAUAACUACUGUUGUGUAGUCAAAGAAGGCCUCUGUUUACAAGCUUUUGCUGAAAGAUGAGUCCGCGUACCAUUAGCUAGUUGGUAGGGUAAUGGCCUACCAAGGCUACGAUGGUUAGCUGGUCUGAGAGGAUGAUCAGCCACACUGGAACUGAGACACGGUCCAGACUCCUACGGGAGGCAGCAGUGAGGAAUAUUGCGCAAUGGGGGCAACCCUGACGCAGCAACGCCGCGUGAGUGAGGAAGGUUUUCGGACCGUAAAGCUCUGUCGAGUGGGAAGAAAUGUAUUAUGGCUAAUAUCCAUGAUAUUUGACGGUACCGCUAAAGGAAGCACCGGCUAACUCCGUGCCAGCCGCCGCCGUAAGAC